ensembl:lncRNA
CUUUGCAAACAUUUCCUUCCACAAGCUGCUUGUUCAUUCCGUUGGCUGACUUGGCUGUGCGGAAGCUCUGUUGUGGGUGGUCAUGUUUAUUUAUAUCUGCUUUUGUUGCCAGUCUUUCACAAAGCAGGGGAAGAGUUAUGGCUGGGGUCAUGGAAGUUUUCUCCUGCACCCCGUUCUAGUUUGAUGGUUUUAGAUUUUUACAUCUAGGAAUGGAUUCCUGUAUCCAGUAUAAGUUGUAUGAAGAGUUGAAGAAUAAGGACCUCACCCUGCAAGCCACGGCUGCUUUUAGAGCUGUAGAGGGGCUCCCACCUACACACGUGCACCUGUGUGCCCUUAUGGCUGUCAAAUCCCCACUAAGUACCCCACUAAACAAGUGACACGGUCCAGUCUGCAACCUCUGUGGAGAAGAGUGGGGUUUGGCCACAGAGGGAAUCCUGCUAGAAUCAGAAGGAAGAAGCCAGGAAAAAAGCAGGCCACAUCUGGCUCUGGCAGCAAUUUUGAGAUGCUUUACAGUGACAUGUUCCGAAGUCUACCUUCUGUGUUCGCAUCACCUGAGCUCGAGGCCAGACCUGCUGGGGCUCCUCAAUGCCUUCAGUUCCAUGCCCUUCAGAAAGCCGAGUUCUGGAUCUCCAGACUCUCAUGGGUGACCCUGGACCCAGCCAGCGCUCCUGACUUCUGUGCUAGACCCUCUUCACAAUGAGUAUGUGGUUCCACAACUAUAUCUUUCUAUUACAGAUUAAUAAUUUAGGAUUCAGAUACCCAUUCUCACUUGAAAAUUAUUCUGUGAUAUGAAAAUCUACUUAUCUAUCCUCUACAGUCUGAAUCCAUCUAUCCCACCAAAUGCAUGAAAGUAUGGAAAUUCACAGACUUUCCAUUUUCUGUCUACACUUUUCUCUUUACAUUUUUUGGAGGGAGGUGCGCUUGUUGCAGCGUGUGUGUGGAGGUUAGAGACCUGGUGGAAGGAGCUCUUUCCUUUUACCAUGUGGGUCCGGGGAUCAAAUUCAAGUUGUCAAGCUUGCAGCAGGAGCCUCUCUGCCGGCCGAGCUUCUCCCCGACCCUGGCUCAGCGGUAUCUGAGAGAUGAUGAUGGUGAUGAUGAUGAUGGUGACGGUGAUGAUGAUGAUGAUGAUGACGACGACGACGACGAUUAUUAUUAUUUUAGGUCUAGAACUAAUAAGGUCCUUUGAACUCAGCCCCAUUGACUUGGUCCAAAGUUAGUGGUCCGAUUUUUUCUUUUAACCUGACAUCUUAAAACUGGAGCUGUCCCUUCAAGGGGACCAGGUGAAGCUGAGCCUGAUGCCUCCCACCUGAGAAUGAGCAGCUAGGUACGCCUCCUCACAUCAGUGGUGCCAGCACUUGGGACUUUAAUAUUGUUAGGAUUUCCAGAAGUCUCUUUUUAGUGACUGAGAUCACCCUAGUUACUCCUUCACCGAGGAACAGGCCUCAGCAGCAUUUCAUUUUCCCUAAUACUAGCCCAUCCCACCUAACCCCACAUCUACUAGGGAUGGACGAACGUGGAAAGCACUUGCUACUCAAAGUGUGGUCCUCAGCCUGGACACCGGCAACAUCCAAAAGCUUCUUAGAAGUGCAAAAGGUCACACCCAUUCAUAGACUGAUGGAACAGAAGCUCUUUAAGGAUCCCAGGCACCCAGACCACAGCAAAAUAUUUCUUGUAACCCUUGGGACUGGAGAGAUGGUUCAGCCAUUAAGAAGGUGGACUGCUCUUACAGAGGGCCUGGCAGCUUACAAAUGCCUGUAACUCUAGGUCCAGCAGGACUGCGUGCCUUUGUGAGUGGACCCACACAUAUGGACACACAUAACUGAGAAAAUAUUAAAAAUAGUUCUUGGGAUUCUGGAGCCAUUGUCCCUUUCUCCUUCUAUAGUUGCUCUGAGCACUUCCCGAAUUAAGCCUUGUACUGGAAUCUUUUGUGACCCUCUGAAGGUCAGGCAUUGGAUCCCUUCUGUCAGAGUGAGCCCUUGGACUACUGGACAGGUUUCGUUUUAGCGCUUUGCUGAUGUUUACUUACCUCUCGCUGUUCAAUAAGCGUCUUUGUGAGGACAAGGAAGAAACGGCAGGUACCUGAGAAGCUUCUGCACACAGCCAGAAAGGGUUUGAACGGAAAGCCUGCUCUGCAGCAUGGUUUACUUAAUAAAUGUUAAGUGAAAACAUUAAAUGUCCUUCCUGUCGCCCUGGAAGUGGCUUUCACAGGGCCCACUACAAAGACAGUUUUGUAAUCCUUUCAAAGCACCUGUUGUUUCAUUCCUCCUGGUUCCUAUGUGGAUGACUGUAUUUACUCUCUGGGGUGUGCACUGAGUACUUAAU